rnacentral:RNase_P_RNA from 1 species
GUCGCUGAACGGGCGAUCGCUCGUGAAAGCGAGAGGAAAGUCCGGUCUCCACAGGGCAACAUGCCGGCUAACGGCCGGGAGGGGUUGGCCAUAUCCGACCUUUACGGAAAGUGCCACAGAAAACGUACCGCCUGUAACGCUGGGGAGACUCAGCGUGAAAGGUAAGGGUGAAAAGGUGCGGUAAGAGCGCACCGCGGCGGGAGUGAUUCCGCUGGCAGGGUAAACCCCAUGCGGAGCAAGACCAAAUAGGGGAGCAGGGGCGGCCCGUUCCAAUAACUCCCGGGUAGGUCGCUAGAGCUUUUUAGUAAUGGAAAGCCCAGACGAAUGGUCGCCACCAGUUCCAACUGGCACAGAAACCGGCUUACAGUUCAGCGAUAUAU